rfam:Trachymyrmex cornetzi contig58864, whole genome shotgun sequence.
AAAACGGUCCUUUUCAGGACCAAUUAUUUUAUAGAAAGUUUAAU